rnacentral:rRNA from 1 species
UACAGAGGGUGCGAGCGUUGUCCGGAAUCACUGGGCGUAAAGGGCGCGUAGGCGGCUCAGUAAGGUUGCGGUGAAAGCCCGGGGCUCAACCCCGGGUCGGCCGUGGCAACUGCUGGGCUGGAGCACUGUAGAGGCAGGUGGAAUUCCGGGUGUAGCGGUGGAAUGCGUAGAGAUCCGGAAGAACACCGGUGGCGAAGGCGGCCUGCUGGGCAGUA